CUUGCGGCCAUAUUACAUUGAAAUCCCAGUUCUUGUAAAAUCGUCGAAGUUAAACCACAUCGAGCUUGGUUAGUUCCUAGAUGGGUGACCGCUUGGGAAUACCAGGUGCUGUAAG